CUUAAAGUUGCAUCUCCAGCGUCAGACCGAAAAAUAUCAUAAAAAUAAAAUUUUAGCUCAUGUAUCUGUCAUAAAAAAUAAGCUUAACAGUGAGUUUGUGAUAUCUAAAUAACCGGAAUAUCAAGAAAGGCGGAGGAAAAAAGAGGAAAAAAGAAAUAAAAACUCAGUCGAAUUAAGAAUGACUUGAUUGGUAGCUGGGAAGGCAACGUUUACAGAGGGCGGGGCUUCACUGUCCCGGCUCACUGAAGACGACAGCGGUAUAUCUGAUAGAGGAAACCGUAGGAGCAUGAAGUUUGUUUUUGUGCUCUAUUUGUGUGUUUCCUUUUUUUCAUUUGUGAGGAUGUAGCGCCGUCCUUCACUCGCUCAGCAGCACCAGAGUUUUAUUCCCACGGUGCCCUGUCCACAGUCAUCGCAGGGUAAGCGGGGAGAAGAUGAUUUGCAGGAUCCUGCUGCUCAUCAUCCUCACCUCAUGUGUCUCUGGAUCAUUUGUAGUCAAUGUGACACAGACCUCCUAUCAGGCAGAGGAGAACCACAACAUCACACUGGAGUGGACGUUCACCACCAACCCUGACAACUCCACAAACUCUGCUUCCAUCAUCUGCCAACAGAUGACUAAUUAUAAAACCUUUGGCUUCUAUCAUGUGUCCAAUGAUGUUGAGGUGUCAGAGUCUCAGGAUGAAAAGUUUUCAGGACGAGUCCAGAGUGACAAAGACGCCCUCAGAGAAGGACGAAUCAGACUUCAACUGUCCAGACUCAGGACUGAUGACUCGGGUCUGUACCUGUGUGAGGUCAACACUGAUUAUGGCUUCAGUUCUGCCAGAUGCAGAGUCAGUGUUUCUGGUGCUGAAAGUCGAAAUAAGAACUACUGGGAUCAAGUUAAAAUUGUUCUGGGAGUUUUAGAGAGUGCACUUUUAAUAGUUAGUGGCAUGAUAGUUUUGAUCAUUGUUGCUGUUCAGGGUCUUGUGCAGUCUUUUAGAAAACAUAAGAUAGGAGGUCCUCUUUUAAAAUGAACUACUUCAUCUGCUAUGUUUUAUGUUGCUGCUUUCAAUCUGAAUGUUUUCUGACAAAAAAAAACCAUACAAUUAAAGCCAACUAAAGAUGUUCUCUAUAAGGAAGUAUCGUAGAUUCUCUUCUUCAUGUUAGAUUAAAACCAAAAAUAUCUUUGUUUAAAUACAAGCUUUUGUAUAUUCAAAAAUUCACUGCACUUCUUUCACUAACGUUCAUUAUUGACUCCACGAUUUGUUCCAACUUCCAACUCAGCUUUCAGCAUUAGCUUCUCAGUGAGCACGCACAUUAUUAUUUAACUAAAAUAAAGAUGACUUGUUUACUGUGUCAAUGCCAAAUUCAUUCUCUGCCAAUUUAUUUCCAUGUUCUUCUGCAACUGUCAAAGUUUUCAGUUUAGAGCUCAUAAUGUAGCAGGAGUUUUUAACCACUUAAUUGCUUCAUUCUUCAAAGCUUGGUCUUUCUGCUUAUUUAACAUAUUUAGCCAUGUUAUUUAUAUAAGAGUUUACUUUUCUCUCAGACAGCUGAUGGACCAGAAGCGUUAUGGAAAUAACAAACAAUUUUCUAAAUAAAAAAUAAAAAUAUAUAAAGAAAGAGAAAGGAAAAAUACACAAAAAUAUUAUGCAUCAAUAAAUUUACUUUUUUUUAGGACAUUUCUGGUAUCUAAUGUUUCUAUUUAACACUGACCUAUGGAUCAUUCAAACAUUAAACAGUCACCUAACUCAGGGGAUGAACCACUGCUAUGUCUAUGGAUAACAGACCGCUUACAAAAGAACUAAUUUUAAAUUAUUAAGGCAAUUUAUAUAUGGCAGUCUGUUACAAGACAAAACACACCUGUCCCCAUUAAGUUGAAUCUACAAAAAAAUCCAAAGAUGGCAGAGUUUGACAAACAUAAAAUAGAAUUUUUUUUGCAGGAACAAGGCGAUUCUCAAAGAGCUAUUGGCUGAAACAAAAGAAACAAAAGAAGAGGCAGGCCAAUAGUUCACAGCCAAACCAGACAGAUCCUGGAUCUACAUCUUCAUACUCUGUGGCCUGAAAACUGGUCCUAAAGACUAAGUCUUGUUUCAUGUUUUGAAGAUGUUGAUGUGUCAGAGUCUCAGGAUGAAAACUUUUUCAGGACGAGUCCAGAGUGACAAAGACGCCCUCAGAGAAGGACGAAUCAGACUUCAACUGUCCAGACUCAGGACUGAUGACUCGGGUCUAUAUAUUCAAAGUGAACACAGACCAUGACUGAUUUGAUAGCUGCAGGCUCCAUGUUCCUGGCAAGGUCUUUUCUUUCCUAAUAUGUGUACUAUAUAUAAAUCUAUUGUGUAUUGAAACAAACAUUAUUAGGUGAAAUUCAGAUAUUCUACAGCUUAAUUUUCAGUGUAAACCAAUUCCAUAAACAUUUAUGAUACACAUGUUGAUGUCCUUCACCAAACAGUGGCCUCUGAUCAGCUAGAGGCAGAACCUCAAGGGAGAACCAUUUCUUUAUGUUAGACUGCAGCUAGUAGCAGCCCUUAUGGCUUUCUGUGUUUUUUGUAUUAUAUGGAGAAAACAGUAAAUGAAACACAAACAGUCUGACUUCAUUUUACAAAAUAAGUCAUUAAACCUUUACUUCAGGAGAUUUUGGAACAGGCAUUUUUGUACAUUAGACUGAGAGCUACAGGAGCUCUACCAGCUGUGUUUAACUCCAACUUUAACACAGAUAUAAGUGAAGCUGUAGAGAUGUUUGUUGUGUGCACUUACAUAAUAUGUACAUAAUAUUAAGUAUAAUGUCCUUUGCUACACACAACUCCAUGACAGUUUACAACACGUCAGAUCAUCUUCAUUGUUAACAUAAUUAAUCUGAAUCCUUUCAACAUUACAACAGUAAACACAUUAAACACUGAAUUUAUAUCUGCUGCACGUGGUGCGUGAGGUAGAGGUGUUUCCCUGUGUGAUUACAGUAAAGUGAACACAGUGCACAUUUCAUCAUCUGUCUGAUGAGUGACAAUUUGAUAAUGUGUCUUAAACAAAUAAACAAACAAAAAAACGAAGAUAAAAAAAAUCAAUUUGAUGUCCAUUAUUGUGUAUCAUGACACUUAUUCUCUGGCCAGCAUGUGUCCUAAUGCACUGUCUGUUAAAUAACAAUUAAAAUGCAGUUUUUAUCAGCUUUGAACCCCCAUGAGUACAUCCAUCAGGAUGUUAAACAGAUUUCAUUUAAAUAUUGGAGUUUUUAGCUUAUAUGAGUCUUACCUUUAUGGUGUUCAACUCUGGGAAAAGGGACGUCUCACCAUUGACAGUUUAAUAUC
ensembl:lncRNA